rnacentral:misc_RNA from 1 species
GCUCCGUAGGUGAACCUGCGGAGGGAUCAUUACAGAGUUCAUGCCCUACCGGGUAGAUCUCCCACCCUAUGUUAUUAUUACUUUGUUGCUUUGGCGGGCCGUUAGGCUCCGGCCCGACUACCGGCCCCGGCUGGUAAGCGCCCGCCAGAGGACCCAAAACCCUGAAUAUUAGUGUCGUCUGAGUACUAUAUAAUAGUUAAAACUUUCAACAACGGAUCUCUUGGUUCUG